rnacentral:tRNA from 1 species
GGGUGCGUGGCUCAAUGGUUGAGCACCGGACUUUUAAUCCGGAUCAUGUGGGUUCGAUUCCCACCGUACCCA